UACGUAGGGUGCAAGCGUUAAUCGGAAUUACUGGGCGUAAAGCGUGCGCAGGCGGUGAUGUAAGACAGAUGUGAAAUCCCCGGGCUUAACCUGGGAACUGCGCUUGUAACUGGCAAGCUAGAGUGUGGCAGAGGGGGGUGGAAUUCCACGUGUAGCAGUGAAAUGCGUAGAGAUGUGGAGGAACACCGAUGGCGAAGGCAGCCCCCUGGGCUAACACUGACGCUCAUGCACGAAAGCGUGGGGAGCAAACAGG
rnacentral:rRNA from 1 species